UACGUAGGGGGCGAGCGUUGUCCGGAGUUACUGGGCGUAAAGCGCUUGUAGGCGGUCCACCAAGUUUGGGGUGACAGUUGCCGACUUAAUCGGCAAAGUGCCUCAAAGACUGGCGGACUUGAGGGCCACAGAGGGACAUGGAACUCCAGGUGUAGUGGUGAAAUGCGUAGAUAUCUGGAAGAACACCAAAGGCGAAGGCAGUGUCCUGGGUGGUCGCUGACGCUGAGAGGCGAAAGCUAGGGGAGCAAACGGG
rnacentral:rRNA from 1 species